GACGAACGCUGGCGGCGUGCUUAACACAUGCAAGUCGAACGAGUGGCGAACGGGUGAGUAAUACGUGAGUAACCUGCCUUUUCUUUGGGAUAAGCCUGGGAAACUGGGUCUAAUACUGGAUAGUGGGGGAUGGGCUCACGGCCUAUCAGCUUGUUGGUGGGGUGAUGGCCUACCAAGGCGGUGACGGGUAGCCGGCCUGAGAGGGUGACCGGCAACAUUGGAACGGAGUUACGGCCCAGACUCCUACGGGAGGCAGCAGUGGGGAAUAUUGCACAAUGGACGGAAGUCUGAUGCAGCGACGCCGCGUGUAUGAAGAAGGCCUUCGGGUUGUAAAGUACUGUCAGCGAGGAGGCGUUACUCGCACAAGUAGCACCGGCUAACUCCGUGCCAGCCGCCGCGGUAAUAC
rnacentral:rRNA from 1 species